rnacentral:lncRNA from 1 species
GAAAAGGUCUCCAGCCAUUUCCUUGGAUUACUGUUAUUUUUCUGAAGAGAAUACUAUACAAAUCAAAAAAACAUGCUUUAGAGCAUUAUGGGCUUCUAGUAAUAAUGAUGCCAGGAAAAUAACUGUGAACUGUGACCGUCCUGAUCAAACUGGUUGUAGAAAUGACAGUUUUUCUCUGUAGUUCUACCAACUUUUGAUUUAUGCAUCUUUGAGAUUAUUUUAUUAGGUAAGUACAUGUAUUUUAUGUACCUGAUAAAUUGACUUUGCAAAACAGAGGUAAUAGUACAGUAUCUACCUUAACAUGGUGGUGAUAAUAUAAAUUAACAUCAAAUCACUAAGAAAACAGUACAUUGUAAGUACUACCUACAUGGCUGGCUUAA